rnacentral:rRNA from 1 species
GAUCCUGGCUCAGAAUCAACGCUGGCGGCGUGCCUAACACAUGCAAGUCGCACGAGAAAGGGUAGCAAUACCUGAGUAAAGUGGCGCACGGGUGAGUAACACGUGAAUAAUCUACCUCCGAGUGGGGAAUAACUGAGAGAAAUCUUAGCUAAUACCGCAUAACACUUACGAGUCAAAGCAGCAAUGCGCUUGGAGAGGAGUUCGCGGCAGAUUAGUUAGUUGGCGGGGUAAUGGCCCACCAAGACGAUGAUCUGUAUCCGGCCUGAGAGGGCGUACGGACACACUGGAACUGAAACACGGUCCAGACUCCUACGGGAGGCAGCAGUGGGGAAUUUUGCGCAAUGGGGGAAACCCUGACGCAGCAACGCCGCGUGGAGGAUGAAAUCCCUUGGGAUGUAAACUCCUUUCGAUAGGGAAGAUAAUGACGGUACCUAUAGAAGAAGCCCCGGCUAACUUCGUGCCAGCAGCCGCGGUAAUACGAGGGGGGCAAGCGUUGUUCGGAUUUAUUGGGCGUAAAGGGUGCGUAGGCGGUUUGGCAAGUCUUGUGUGAAAUCUUUGGGCUCAACCCAAAGUCUGCAUAAGAAACUGCCGGGCUUGAGUAUGGGAGAGGUGAGUGGAAUUUCCGGUGUAGCGGUGAAAUGCGUAGAUAUCGGAAGGAACACCUGUGGCGAAAGCGGCUCACUGGACCAU